rnacentral:lncRNA from 1 species
GGAUUCAUGGUGGUGCCCUCAGUGUUUUAAAAUGAAAGUAGGGGCUCAGCCUUGGGAGUCAUUCUAACGCUCCAAUGGUCAAUCAUACUCACUUAGAGAGGUUGAACCAUGUGGUGAGGAGUAGCAGGAGGUCCUUAGUCUUGGGGGCUCCCAGUAUGCCUCAAGGCCCGGAACGGACUAACCUCAUGAGUGUGGCAGGGUGGGGAACCCAAGUUUCAUAAGUCACCAUGGGUGCAAGACUCGCCAUAGCCCGACUAUCAUUUUAAAGUUCGGACGAGUCAAG